AUUGAACGCUGGCGGCAGGCUUAACACAUGCAAGUCGAACGAGUGGCGGACGGGUGAGUAAUGCUUGGGAAUCUAGCUUAUGGAGGGGGAUAACUACGGGAAACUGUAGCUAAUACCGCGUCCCAUAGGAUGAGCCCAAGUGGGAUUAGGUAGUUGGUGAGGUAAAGGCUCACCAAGCCGACGAUCUCUAGCUGGUCUGAGAGGAUGACCAGCCACACUGGAACUGAGACACGGCCCAGACUCCUACGGAGGGAAGCAGUGGGGAAUAUUGCGCAAUGGGGGCAACCUUGACGCAGACAUGCCGCUGGGAUGAAGAAGGCCUUCGGGUUGUAAAGUACUUUCAGUCGGGAGGCGUUACCGACAGAAGAAGCACCGGCUAACUCCGUGCCAGCAGCCGCGGUAAUAC
rnacentral:rRNA from 1 species